UUUAGAAAAGACUGUGCCCAGCGGGAAUGUACUUUUCCCAGAUGUUUUUCACACUGACCAUCUUUUGUUUCAUGAGCAAUUUAGAGAUUACCAGGAUUACAUCUCAGCUGACUGCAUGUUGGGGAUUACAAUGUUAGAAAUUAGUUGUCUAGGGUGAAGUUUUAUUGUAACUUGCUGACAGUUUAGCAUGAGUGGGUCCUGCUCAAAACUUGGUGUUAGGGAGCUUUAAGUGAACUUUGUUAGCAUGGAGAGAUAAGCAGGGGAGUAAACAGAGAAAGACUGGGUGUCUUCAGAUAAGAGUUGAGAUCCUGAAGGGCCCCAGGAUGGAAGAUAAGAACAAUUAAUGGCCUGCACAUGUGGACAUGGAGAAAGAAUUCCAUGAGGCGUUACAAGACUCCAGACCAUAAACCACCAUUGGGCACUGGACGAUCAGUGCACAGACUCUGGGGUAUAAAGGUCCAGGGACUUCUUUGUUUGAGAUCCCACUCCAGAGGCACCACCUUGAGCUGAAAGAAACUGACUCUGGCCCAGAACCUAAGGUCCAAACUCUUCCUUAACAUUGCAAAACUUUGGAGGUGGCACAAUUCACAGCUGAGUACCUGGACAAAGUUUUUGCACCACGUGGAUGGCAGGAAAACUGGCGUACAAAUGUGUUUGAGGUUCUUGUAGGGGUGGCUGAUACAGAGUGCUUAGCUCUGAAAACAGAAGCUCCUUGAAGCUUAAGGGACACCAGGUACCAGUGUGGGAGCUGUGGGUUGUGUAUGAUGAGUCAGGAGAGUUUUACCAGACAGCACAAGCUGUAGAGCAUGUCAGGUUCUUCUACCAGUACAUCUGGAGGACUGGAACAAGGACGAGAAGGAGGAUAACUUGCAUUCUUUUGUGUGAUGUGUUGAGUCUUGACUGAGGCUGCGUUCUGACAUCUGAGAACAUGGUGUGACGCUGGGCUUGUAGCGGACUGUGGUAAAGACCUAGAAAUACAGUUUCACCGUGAUCCACUGACAGCUGUAAAUGCCUGUUAUGAAGCAAACACAGUGAUCAUCGGUCGUAGUCACUGUGUUCUAGAGGGCCUGUUCUGCAUUGCUGAUUCAGUAGAACGCAAGGGCUGUGCCUUUUAUGUUGUGUUAGAAUAAACAAAAGAAAGGAGACACCUUUCUUGACUGUACAGAAUCUAACAUAAGGAUCUCUAGUUUGAAGUGAGUGCUACAUGGAGUUGUGAAGAGAGUUUUAAAUGUCUAUCAUGGAAAAACCACCCUGGAGAAUUAUAUGUUACACUCUUGUGUUAUCUAAGUUGUUUCAUUCCAUUAAGUCUUAUCAAGUGGUUUAGUCCUGCACCCCCUUGUAAAUAGUCCUGCCCUCUCUUGGCUCCUCCCAUCCCUGUGUCAAUUCUUUCCUUCCUCCACUCCUUGUCCCUAGAUCCUGCUGAGUCGUUCCCAUGGGGUCUGUCUGUCACUCGACAGCCCUUCCCCUCCACCUAUAAAGUUCCAUCAAGGGCAUCGAGUGAUAGGACAAGACACCGGGGUCCCCUCCUAUCCCUGGUUUAGGGGGCUCCUCAGAGUCUCCCAAUAAACGUGGAUUGAAAACCCCUACAGAAGUUGGCUCAUUCUUCUGUUAUCGCUGCUAAAGUCUCUCCCAUGGCUACGGGCCAGACCCAAAGCUUCCCUUCUAACCCCCAGGGGAACAGGAGGGUGGCCAUUGCUGACUGCUAUGUCAGGUCCAGCUGGGCAAGCGCUGAGCCAUCAGUGGGGAAGACACAACGGCAGUUUGGCACCCAAUGUGGGGCCUGGGAAUAUGACCGGACCUCGCAGGCUUCAGCUGGUGGAACCACUACAUCCACAGGACUCGCAUUUUCACUUCAUCCGAGUGUCCCUGGAGGAUUCAGAUACCUGGAGCAAGAUUGGAUGGAAGUAUGUCAUCAUCGGAGACACCAAACACCACAAGAGGUCAAUAUCGUUCUGGGUGUAAUUAACACCAGACCAGUCCAGGCCUGAUGACCCCAAGCCCCGCAAGGAUGCUGAUAUUACUGACCACUCUGCUCUACAUUGUGUCUCCUGGCCACCCAUGGAUUGUUCCCCAGCCACAAGCCAACGUGUGGAAAACUCUGGCACAGACCCUUGGGCAGGAAAACAUCUGUCUGUCCACUGACUCCACUGCCAACCCAAUGUCCACCUGCCUUGUGGGGAUCCCAUUCAAGUCAAAUGAAUUUCUUCCUUCUUUAGUUUCUUCUUUCCUCCCUAUGUACAAUCCCUUAGUUCCCUGGGAACAGUUCCUCAAAAGAUUACCACAAGCCAAGGAGGAACUCCGUGAAUUUGAAUUGCUUGGCUCAGCAAAAGCCCCUUAUUGCAUUCAUUUUAUGAUUGAACCCAAUGCCCCAAGAAUCAGGCGCACAGAAAUUAAACAAAUCAAAAGUCAAUACAUAGCAAAAAAUUGGUGUAAAAAAAUCAGCCACAUAUGGGAACCACUCACCCUUACCUCCAAACCUCACACCCUACCUAGUGGAACCUUCUUUAUUUGUGGAGAUAGAGCUUUUUCAGGCAGCCCCUCUCACCUACCCAGAGGCCCUUGCACCAUCGAUCAGUUGAGCCUGUUUUCCCCCAACAUGUCCCAAAUUUUGGAUUGGCGUCAGAAAAACAACACCAACCAAUUGGACGGCAAAAAAAGAGAACUUGCCGACCUGGACGCAAAUUGCAACUCUGAAAUUAUUCAUUGGUCAAGACUAAAGGGGGUCGCAUUUACUGGUUUUUUACCAUGGGUAUCUGUAGUAUAUGUUAUUUCCUCCUGCUUUACUGUAUGACACUACAGCUCUGCUGUUUCCCAGCCUGUCUUAUGAGAACCUCAGCCGCAAGCCUCACCCAUCCUCCAGCUCCGGCUGCCUAUCCCACCCUUUCUCCAGUUCCGUCCCGCCCGCCCAGGGCCGGGAGGCAGCAGCUGCCGCCUCUGCGGUGCUCGGGCAGCCCGGGCCAGCCGCCCCUCCUUCCCCCGGGCUGCUCCGGAACAGCCGGCACGGAGCUGCUGGGCCGGGACAGCCACCGAGACACGCUGGGGCGGCCUAAGUGCUUGCAGAUGUGCGGCUGCAUCGGGCUGGGGUCACAGCGGCAAGGUUUGGGGAGGGGGGUUCGCUGAGCAGGGUGGCGGCAGCUUUAGGACAAAAAUCAGGGUGGAAAAGACUUCUGAGAUCGAGUCCAACAUAGCACUGCAUAACAUGGCCAUGUCCAGUCUUCCUUCAGCACCUCCAGGGACGGUGACUACACCACCUCCCUGGGCAGCCCAUUACAGUGCCUAGUCACCUUUUCUGUGAGGAAAUUCUUCCUUAUGUUCAGCCUAAACUCCCAACAGCACAGCCUAAGGCUAUGUUCUCUCUUGCCCUGUCACUCGUUCCCUGGGAGCGGAGUCCAACCUUCACCUGGCUGCACCCUCCUGUCAGAAAAUUGGAGUGAUAAGGUCUCCGCUGAGCCUCCCCUUCUCCAGGCUAAACAUCCACAAGCUGCCUCAGCUGUUUCUCAUAAAACUUGUGCUCUA